CCCUUAGAUGUUCUGGGCUGCACGCGCGCUACACUGAAGCUAUCAACACGUUUUCCCUCCCUGAGAAGGGCGGGUAACCUUUUGAAUCAGCUUCGUAGUAGGGAUCGGGGCUUGCAAUUGUUCCCCGUGAACCAGGAAUUCCUAGUAGACGCGAGUCAUAAGCUCGCAUCGAUUAAGUCCCUGCCCUUUGUACACACCGCCCGUCGCUACUACCGAUUGAACGUUUUAGUGAGGCAUUUGGACCGACGCAUCUCAGUUUAACCGCUGGUUUGUGUUGGAAAGACUUCCAAACUUGAGCGUUUAGAGGAAGUAAAAGUCGUAACA
rnacentral:rRNA from 1 species